rnacentral:lncRNA from 1 species
UUUUUAGCUCACCUGGCCCAAAGGGCCAAGUGAGCUUUUCCCAUCACUUGGCGUCCGUCGUCCGUCGUCCGUCGUCUGUCGUCCGUCGUCGUCCGGCGUCGUUAACUUUUACAAAAAUCUUCUCCUCUGAAACUACUGUGCCAAAUUACACCAAACUUGGCCACAAUCAUCAUUGGGGUAUCUAGUUUAAAAAAUGUGUCCGGUGACCCGGCCAACCAUCCAAGAUGGCCGCCAUGGCUAAAAAUAGAACAUAGGGGUAAAAUGCAGUUUUUGGCUUAUAACUCAAAAACCAAAGCAUUUAGAGCAAAUC